rnacentral:misc_RNA from 1 species
CAAGCAUUCAUCAAGUUCAAGGCUUUAUCAUCAUUCGGCUUCUCAAAUCCAUGCUUCUCCGAGAAACAGCCAAAGUCGCGGCCAUCAAUUUGAACGACAAUGAUGUUUGGGUACAUUACUUCAUCUUCCACCUCAAAACAUUUCACGUAUUCAUACCUGCUGUUCGCCAUUCCCAAAUGCCGCAACAAUCUGAAAAGAAUAGGGUUUAAUUGAUCGAUUGUUAGCAGAAACUGUG